rnacentral:lncRNA from 1 species
AUCAGAAACCCAGGCACAGACUCUGUCCCUGAGGAAAGCUGUCUCCGCUCGUGACACAUGGCAUGCUCGCUCUUCAGGGCAGGUUACCAUGAAGAGACAUUGAGAGCCCAGAGAUGUGGCUGAGAUUUCCGAGUAGUUUCCUGAGCCUGGCUGUCUGGACCUCUCCACUUCAGCCGGAAACAAGGACUAAAAGGCACCAGAGUGGCCCGGACUACAAUGAAACAACAAUCAACUCCAGGACGUGGCAGCACCCCCAACCUCCCAAAGACGAUCAACGCCCCAGGCCAGCAGGAAGCAGCCUUAAGACAUCUUCG